UACGUAGGGUGCAAGCGUUGUCCGGAAUUAUUGGGCGUAAAGAGCUUGUAGGCGGUUUGUCGCGUCUGCCUGUGAAAUUUCGGGGGCUCAACCCCGAACUUGCAGUGGGUACGGGCAGACUAGAGUGUGGUAGGGGAGACUGGAAUUCCUGGUGUAGCGGUGAAAUGCGCAGAUAAUCAGGAGGAACACCGAUGGCGAAGGCCAGGUCUCUGGGCCACUACUGACGCUGAGAAGCGAAAGCAUGGGGAGCGAAACAGG
rnacentral:rRNA from 1 species